CCUGUGGUAAUUCUACAGCUAAUACAUGCUGAAAACCUCAACUUCGGAAGAGGUGUAUUUAUUAGAUAAAAAACCAAUGCCCUUCGGGGCUCCUUGGUGAUUCAUAAUAACUUAACGAAUCGCAUGGCCUUGCGCCGGCGAUGGUUCAUUCAAAUUUCUGCCCUAUCAACUUUCGAUGGUAAUGUCUUGGAUUACCAUGGUGUCUACGGGUAACGGGGAAUUAGGGUUCUAUUCCGGAGAGGGAGCCUGAGAAACGGCUACCACAUCCAAGGAAGGCAGCAGGCGCGCAAAUUACCCAAUCCCGACACGGGGAGGUAGUGACAAUAAAUACUGAUGCAGAGCUCUUUUGGGUUUUGCAAUUGGAAUGAGUACAAUUUAAAUCCCUUAACGAGGAACAAUUGGAGGGCAAGUCUGGUGCCAGCAGCCGCGGUAAUUCCAGCUCCAAUAGCGUAUAUUAAAGUUGUUGCAGUUAAAAAGCUCGUAGUUGAAACUUGGGCCUGGCUGGCCGGUCCGCCUCACCGCGUGCACCGGUCCGGCCGGGCCUUUCCUUCUGGGGAGCCGCAUGCCCUUCAUUGGGUGUGCCGGGGAACCAGGACUUUUACUUUGAAAAAAUUAGAGUGUUCAAAGCAGGCCUAUGCUCGAAUACAUUAGCAUGGAAUAAUAGAAUAGGACGUGUGGCUCUAUUUUGUUGGUUUCUAGGACCUCCGUAAUGAUUAAUAGGGAUAGUCGGGGGCAUCUGUAAAACCGUCGCAGCUCUGCGCCUUUGUUACAAUGCUCUAUACGAGUGGUGGGAAAAUGUCCUCGGCCACGCGCCGGAAACAUUGUAAAUCAGAGUCCGUCUAACGGGCUAUACACCUAUAUUGCGGGAAACUUCCGGUAGCUAGCGGACACUUCCCCGCGAUUCGAAAGAUCCGGGUACAGUAACAGUGCUGUUUUUGCUCUUAAGGAAUUAUCCGCAGCCCGGUUUCUAAUGGGAUAUGCUCCCUAUGAAACCUGGUUCAGAGAUCAAAUUGGUGUAGAAAGGAAUUCCUUUUUAAAUUGUGAUCCAUUCUGCGGCUUAUGCUGCUGGAACAGUUAUGGGAGCCUGCGGCUUAAUUUGACUCAACACGGGGAAACUCACCAGGUCCAGACAUAAUAAGGAUUGACAGAUUGAGAGCUCUUUCUUGAUCUUAUGGGUGGUGGUGA
rnacentral:rRNA from 1 species